rnacentral:rRNA from 1 species
AACGAACGCUGGCGGCAUGCCUUACACAUGCAAGUCGAACGGCAGCACGGGGCAACCUGGUGGCGAGUGGCGAACGGGUGAGUAAUGCAUCGGAACGUGCCAUUGAGUGGGGGAUAACGUAGCGAAAGUUGCGCUAAUACCGCAUAUUCUGUGAGCAGGAAAGCAGGGGACCGCAAGGCCUUGCGCUCUUUGAGCGGCCGAUGUCAGAUUAGCUAGUUGGUGAGGUAAAGGCUUACCAAGGCGACGAUCUGUAGCGGGUCUGAGAGGAUGAUCCGCCACACUGGAACUGAGACACGGUCCAGACUCCUACGGGAGGCAGCAGUGGGGAAUUUUGGACAAUGGGGGCAACCCUGAUCCAGCCAUGCCGCGUGAGUGAAGAAGGCCUUCGGGUUGUAAA